AAGUCGUAACAAGGUAACCGUAGGUGAACCUGCGGUUGGAUCAUUAAUAAAUCUAGAAGGUCUUAAAGACCUUUCUAACAUCUUGUGAAAAGUUCAUGUCUCUGGCAGGCUCUGUCUGCCGCCUACACUUUGUAUUAACAUUCGUCUAAAAAAAUUAUAAAAGUAAUUAAAACAACUUUUGACAACGGAUCUCUAGGCUCUC
rnacentral:misc_RNA from 1 species